UACGUAGGGGGCGAGCGUUGUCCGGAGUUACUGGGCGUAAAGCGCUUGUAGGCGGUCCACCAAGUUUGGGGUGACAGUUGCCGACUUAAUCGGCAAAGUGCCUCAAAGAUUGGCGGACUUGAGGGCCACAGAGGGACAUGGAACUCCAGGUGUAGUGGUGAAAUGCGUAGAUAUCUGGAAGAACACCAAAGGCGAAGGCAGUGUCCUGGGUGGUCGCUGACGCUGAGAGGCGAAAGCCAGGGGAGCGAACGGG
rnacentral:rRNA from 1 species